rnacentral:rRNA from 1 species
UAUCCCUACGGGAGGCAGCAGUGGGGAAUAUUGCACAAUGGGGGGAACCCUGAUGCAGCAACGCCGCGUGAAGGAAGAAGUAAUUCGUUAUGUAAACUUCUGUCGACAGGGAAGAAAGAAAUGACGGUACCUGAAUAAGAAGCCCCGGCUAAUUACGUGCCAGCAGCCGCGGUAAUACGUAAGGGGCAAGCGUUAUCCGGAUUUACUGGGUGUAAAGGGUGAGUAGGUGGCAGGGCAAGUCAGAUGUGAAAGCCCGGGGCUCAACCCCGGUACUGCAUUUGAAACUGUCCAGCUGGAGUGCAGGG